rnacentral:rRNA from 1 species
GACGUAGGGGGCGAGCGUUGUCCGGAUUUACUGGGCGUAAAGGGCUCGUAGGCGGUUUGUCGCGUCGGGAGUGAAAACCCAGGGCUUAACUCUGGGCUUGCUUUCGAUACGGGCAGACUAGAGGCAUGCAGGGGAGAACGGAAUUCCUGGUGUAGCGGUGAAAUGCGCAGAUAUCAGGAGGAACACCGGUGGCGAAGGCGGUUCUCUGGGCAUGUCCUGACGCUGAGGAGCGAAAGUGUGGGGAGCGAACAGG